UGCGCCCUACGGGAGGCAGCAGUGAGGAAUAUUGGUCAAUGGACGAGAGUUUGAACCAGCCAAGUAGCGUGAAGGAUGACUGCCCUAUGGGUUGUAACCUUCUUUUAUAAAGGAAUAAAACGAGGCACGUGUGCCUUUUUGCAUGUACUUUAUGAAUAAGGAUCGGCUAACUCCGUGCCAGCAGCCGCGGUAAUACGGAGGAUCCGAGCGUUAUCCGGAUUUAUUGGGUUUAAAGGGAGCGUAGAUGGGUUGUUAAGUCAGUUGUGAAAGUUUGCGGCUUAACCGUAAAAUUGCAAUUGAUAAUG
rnacentral:rRNA from 1 species